rnacentral:lncRNA from 1 species
GGAAUCCAAGUAGGAGAUAAAGAAGUUGACUUUAGCUUGAUUUUUUCUUGAUUAUGGUUUGAAGAAGAUGAAUUAGAUUUUGAUUAGGAGAGUGCAAGAGUUGGUGUUAUUGAGGUGCAAGGGCUUGAAAGGAGCUGUUUUUGAAUUAGGAGUGCAAGAAAUUGGGUUUGAAUUAGAAUUGCCUUACUUAGGGCUUUAUUUUUUUUCAAGUG